AUAUUUUAACAAUACCCUGACCACACCUAAUCUCUGCUGAUCUUGAAAGCUAAGCAGGAUCAGGCCUGGUUAUUACUUGGAUGGGAGACACUUCUUUAAAAAAAAAUGGUAUUAGACUCUC
rnacentral:rRNA from 1 species